GUGAGGAAUUUUCCGCAAUGGGCGAAAGCCUGACGGAGCAAUGCCGCGUGAAGGAUGAAGGCCUAUGGGUUGUAAACUUCUUUUCUCAGAAAAGAAUUAUGACGGUAUCUGAGGAAUAAGCAUCGGCUAACUCUGUGCCAGCAGCCGCGGUAAGACAGAGGAUGCAAGCGUUAUCCGGAAUGAUUGGGCGUAAAGCGUCUGUAGGUUGUUUAAAAAGUAUUCUGUCAAAGAUUAGGGCUUAACCCUAGAUAGGCAGAAUAAACUUUUAAGCUAGAGUUUGGUAGAGGCAGAGGGAAUUCCCGGUGGAGCGGUGAAAUGCGUAGAUAUCGGGAGGAACACCAAAGGCGAAGGCACUCUGCUGGGCCAAUACUAACACUGAGAGACGAAAGCGAGAGGAGCAAAUGGGAUUAGAAACCCCGGUAGUCC
rnacentral:rRNA from 1 species